UACUAUGCUGUGCCAUUCUUCUGGUGCCCGCUGCUGCUUAGGAUCAGUCACUGCUGUCCCUUAAGUGCAUCCUUCCCCUGGGUUUGGCUUGGAAACACAUUGCCUACAGGGAGUACCAACAACUUGGAGGAGCAGGAAAAGUCUCUUCUAAGAGUAAUGCUAUGAUGAGAAAAUGAAAUGACUCAGGAAUGGGAUCAAGAUGUCAGCAGAUGACUGAGCCUAGAACACUGGGCUGAA
rnacentral:lncRNA from 1 species